ACAUGCAAGUCGAGCGGUAGCACAGAGAGCUUGCUCUCGGGUGACGAGCGGCGGACGGGUGAGUAAUGUCUGGGAAACUGCCUGAUGGAGGGGGAUAACUACUGGAAACGGUAGCUAAUACCGCAUAACGUCGCAAGACCAAAGUGGGGGACCUUCGGGCCUCAUGCCAUCAGAUGUGCCCAGAUGGGAUUAGCUGGUAGGUGGGGUAACGGCUCACCUAGGCGACGAUCCCUAGCUGGUCUGAGAGGAUGACCAGCCACACUGGAACUGAGACACGGUCCAGACUCCUACGGGAGGCAGCAGUGGGGAAUAUUGCACAAUGGGCGCAAGCCUGAUGCAGCCAUGCCGCGUGUGUGAAGAAGGCCUUCGGGUUGUAAAGCACUUUCAGCGGGGAGGAAGGCGGUGAGGUUAAUAACCUCAUCGAUUGACGUUACCCGCAGAAGAAGCACCGGCUAACUCCGUGCCAGCAGCCGCGGUAAUACGGAGGGUGCAAGCGUUAAUCGGAAUUACUGGGCGUAAAGCGCACGCAGGCGGUCUGUCAAGUCGGAUGUGAAAUCCCCGGGCUCAACCUGGGAACUGCAUUCGAAACUGGCAGGCUAGAGUCUUGUAGAGGGGGGUAGAAUUCCAGGUGUAGCGGUGAAAUGCGUAGAGAUCUGGAGGAAUACCGGUGGCGAAGGCGGCCCCCUGGACAAAGACUGACGCUCAGGUGCGAAAGCGUGGGGAGCAAACAGGAUUAGAUACCCUGGUAGUCCACGCUGUAAACGAUGUCGAUUUGGAGGUUGUGCCCUUGAGGCGUGGCUUCCGGAGCUAACGCGUUAAAUCGACCGCCUGGGGAGUACGGCCGCAAGGUUAAAACUCAAAUGAAUUGACGGGGGCCCGCACAAGCGGUGGAGCAUGUGGUUUAAUUCGAUGCAACGCGAAGAACCUUACCUGGUCUUGACAUCCACAGAACUUUGCAGAGAUGGAUUGGUGCCUUCGGGAACUGUGAGACAGGUGCUGCAUGGCUGUCGUCAGCUCGUGUUGUGAAAUGUUGGGUUAAGUCCCGCAACGAGCGCAACCCUUAUCCUUUGUUGCCAGCGGUCCGGCCGGGAACUCAAAGGAGACUGCCAGUGAUAAACUGGAGGAAGGUGGGGAUGACGUCAAGUCAUCAUGGCCCUUACGACCAGGGCUACACACGUGCUACAAUGGCAUAUACAAAGAGAAGCGACCUCGCGAGAGCAAGCGGACCUCAUAAAGUAUGUCGUAGUCCGGAUUGGAGUCUGCAACUCGACUCCAUGAAGUCGGAAUCGCUAGUAAUCGUAGAUCAGAAUGCUACGGUGAAUACGUUCCCGGGCCUUGUACACACCGCCCGUCACACCAUGGGAGUGGGUUGCAAAAGAAGUAGGUAGCUUAACCUUCGGGAGGGCGCUUACC
rnacentral:rRNA from 1 species